UAAUACGUAGGGGGCUAGCGUUGUCCGGAUUUAUUGGGCGUAAAGAGCGUGUAGGCGGCCAGGUAGGUCCGCUGUGAAAACUCGAGGCUCAACCUCGAGAGGUCGGUGGAAACCAUCUGGCUAGAGUCCGGAAGAGGAGAGUGGAAUUCCCGGUGUAGCGGUGAAAUGCGCAGAUAUCGGGAAGAAUAUCCGUGGCGAAGGCGGCUCUCUGGGACGGUACUGACGCUGAGACGCGAAAGCGUGGGGAGCGAACAGGA
rnacentral:rRNA from 1 species